GACGAACGCUGGCGGCGUGCUUAACACAUGCAAGUCGAACGGAAAGGCCCUGCUUUUGUGGGGUGCUCGAGUGGCGAACGGGUGAGUAACACGUGAGUAACCUGCCCUUGACUUUGGGAUAACUUCAGGAAACUGGGGCUAAUACCGGAUAUGAUCUCCUGCUGCAUGGUGGUGGUUGGAAAGUUUCGGCGGUUGGGGAUGGACUCGCGGCUUAUCAGCUUGUUGGUGGGGUAGUGGCUUACCAAGGCUUUGACGGGUAGCCGGCCUGAGAGGGUGAACGGCCACAUUGGGACUGAGAUACGGCCCAGACUCCUACGGGAGGCAGCAGGGGGGAAUAUUGCACAAUGGGCGGAAGCCUGAUGCAGAAACGCCGCGUGCGGGAUGACGGCCUUCGGGUUGUAAACCGAUUUCGCAGGUGACGAAGCGUGAGUGACGGUAAUGGGUAAAGAAGCACCGGCUAACUACGUG
rnacentral:rRNA from 1 species